CAUGUACCGGUGGGGUCCCUCAGCCUGGCCUGUGCCCUCUUGCAAUCCGGGACCCCUCAGGGGAUGUUUGACUGCCGAUUUCGGCCCGAUCCCUGCAGGCCAGGCUGAGGGACCCCAUCAGUGCACG
rnacentral:pre_miRNA from 1 species